rnacentral:rRNA from 1 species
GCAUAACGCGAAGAACCUUACCAAGGCUUGACAUACACGAGAACGGGCCAGAAAUGGUCAACUCUUGGACACUCGUGAACAGGUGGUGCAUGGUUGUCGUCAGCUCGUGUCGUGAGAUGUUGGGGUUAAGUCCCGCAACGAGCGCAACCCUCGUUCUAUGUUGCCAGCACGUAAUGGUGGGAACUCAUGGGAUACUGCCGGGGUCAACUCGGAGGAAGGUGGGGAUGACGUCAAAUCAUCAUGCCCCUUAUGUCUUGGGCUUCACGCAUGCUACAAUGGCCGGUACAAUGGGCUGCGAUACCGUAAGGUGGAGCGAAUCCCAAAAAGCCGGUCCCAGUUCGGAUUGAGGUCUGCAACUCGACCUCAUGAAGUCGGAGUCGCUAGUAAUCGCAGAUCAGCAACGCUGCGGUGAAUACGUUCCCGGGUCUUGUACACACCG